rnacentral:piRNA from 1 species
CUAGAAGACUUGUAAUGUUCCCAACAC